GUCUUAAUGAAAUUAAUAUUAAGUCAAUCUGCCCAAUGAUUAUAAAGAUUUAAUGGCUGCAGUAUACCUGACUGUACAAAGGUAGCAUAAUCAAUUGUUUUUUAAUUAAAAACUAGUAUGAAAGAAUUAAUGAGAUAUAUACUGUCUCAUAUAUAUUAAAUGAAUUUAAAAAUUUGGUAAAAAUGCUAAAAUUAUUUUAUGGGACGAUAAGACCUUAUAGAAUUUUAUAUUGAAAAUUUAAUUAAAGAAAAUUAAUUAAAUUUAUUAAUAUUUAAUUGGGAGGAUUAGUAAAUUAUAAAAACUUUAUUUUAAAAUUAAACUUAGAUUAAAGGAUUUUUUAGAUCUUGUAUUAUAAAUAAAAAGAAUAAAUUACCUUAGGGAUAACAGCGUAAUAUCUUUUAGAAGAUCAAAUUUAAAAAGAUGAUUGCGACCUCGAUGUUGAAUUAAGAUUAAUUUUAAAUGCAGGAGUUUAAAAAUUAAGUCUGUUCGACUUUUAAAAUCUU
rnacentral:rRNA from 1 species